rnacentral:rRNA from 1 species
ACGAGAGUGGGUAACACCCGAAGUCGGUGAGGUAACCCGCAAGGGAGCCAGCCGCCGAAGGUGGGAUUCGCGAUUGGGGUGAAGUCGUAACAAGGUAGCCGUAUCGGAAGGUGCGGCUGGAUCACCUCCUUU